UUUUUUCUUUCUCUCCUUUUUGCCUCACGAUCCUCAUAUACUGAGCACUACUAGCCACGUGUUCCUUUUUUUAAGUUCAGUCUCCAACCGAACCAAAAAUAUCAGCAUUGUAUUCCCUUCCAAACACCUACUCUGUUUUUUUCUAUCUCCACUUCCCAAACGAACUACAAGUCCAAAAGGAAAUAGAUCCGAACACAACUUUUCUUACUCUUUUUUUCCUAUUACUUGCUUCCUUUCUGAUCGGUCCUUCUUCUCCUUCCUUCCACUAGUAAAUGUGCACGUGCAAUGCACGUCUUAACUAAUAUUACAAUCAUAUGUGAAUAAGCAUAUCGUUUGUUAUAAUUAGUACCCUCAACCUGAACAUAUGCUACUACCGUACAUCCAUCUUAAAUUAUGUAUAUAAUUAAGAUCCAUUUAUACAAAUAUGUUAUUAGAAACAGUAUUGUUCAGUUUCAUAUUUUACGUAUAUACCUAAAUAAGCAAGCAUUCAGAUAUGACAUUCAUUUCCAAAGCAACACCGGAAGAAUUCUUAACUCUCAAGAUUGAAGGCUCUGCUGUAUUUUCAGGGAUGUGCCUGCAAACUUGUUUAGUCAUCAAUCCACAAUAUAUGCAUUUCUAUUGUAAAAUAAUUCCUUGCAGGGUACACCUGUGCAGCUAACAUGCAUUUCUACAUCACAUUAUUAUUAUCGAUGAUUACUAACUUUUCUAACUUCCUCUCCAUUUCUCAUUAGAACAUGAUACAUGCAGGAGCAGAGAAGGAAACCCAGAUGGUUACCAAACUGGUGGCAAAGAAGAUGACAAUGCUCAGAGAAGCACCUACGGUGACAGUCGUAUGGCCGAGCUUGAGCAGCACCAAGACCAUACGCCCCUCAAACAUUAAUGAAAAAUUUGGUCAUUAUUUUUGUUCCGGCCAACAGGUUAGCCCCACUUGCUCCCUAAACUUUAAUGAAAAACUUGGUCAUUAUUCUUACUCCGACAAACAGGUUAGCCCCACUUACCUUCCCUGCCUCAUCACCAAGGUAAAUAAUAACAUAGUAGCAUACAAAAACCCAGACAUCAGUAGGGCAGGUUGCACACUUUGUAAACUGAUGACAUCAUGACAGUGAAAGGUUAUUUUACUGCUAACAUGAAGUCAAUCACUACAUGCCUUUUAAAAAUGCUUUUCAAUGUACCCAGUUAUUACGUGCUUUGUCUGCGGUACCAAAUUAUCAGUCCAACUAAAACAACUACCUUAAAAUAUAUGGAUGACAUAUCAAGAACAAGUACUUGCUUGAUGAGAUACAUAACACGCCAAAUUCUACAUUUAUUAUUCAAAUAACCAGUGAGAAUUAUCUGACCAUAACACAAUAUUCAUCAGAUAAUUAACUAUGCAGCAAUAAUCCUAUUACAUUACUGCCCACCAAACACAGAGAAGUAGUUUAGUUGCAUUACUUCUUGCCAUGGAUUGAUAGCAGUAAGGACGACCAAUAAUACAAAAUAAUGAAGUUGGAAAAAAUAUAAGUUGGGGCAUACUGAUUUUAUGGGUGACUUGUCCCCUAUGAAGAAACAAGUCAGACCUGCGGGGUGGUGUGUUAUGUAUUUUACGUGCUUUGUCUGCAGUACCAAAUUAUCAGACCAACUAAAACAGCUAACUUAAAAUAUAUGGGUGGCAUAUCAAGAACAAGUACUUUCUCGGUGAGAUACAUAACACGCCAAAUUCUACAUUUAUUAUUCAAAUAACCAGUGAGAGAAUUAACUGACCAUGAACAUAAUAUUCAUCUGAUAAUUAACUAUGCGGCAAUAAUCCUAUUACAUUACUGCCCACCAAACUCAGAGAAGUAGUUUAGUUGCAUUACUUCUUGGCAUGGAUUGAUAGCAGUAAGGACAACUGAUAAUCCAAAAUAAUGAAGUUGGAAAAAAUAUAUGUUGGGGCAUACUGAUCUUAUGGGUGACUGUAUCAGGUCAAAUAAUGGUGGGCGAGCACAGAGACGUCCGUCUUGUCCAUUGGGUGAACAAUUGCAACAGAGAACUAAUGUGGGAGGUGUUCUAGAGCAGUAUCAAC
rnacentral:lncRNA from 1 species